rnacentral:rRNA from 1 species
CAGCCGCCGCGGGAAUACGGAGGGUGCAAGCGUUAAUUGGAAUUACUGGGCGUAAAGCGCACGCAGGCGGUCUGACAAGUCAGAUGUGAAAUCCCCGGGCUUAACCUGGGAACUGCAUUUGAAACUGUCAGGCUGGAGUCUUGUAGAGGGGGGUAGAAUUCCAGGUGUAGCGGUGAAAUGCGUAGAGAUCUGGAGGAAUACCGGUGGCGAAGGCGGCCCCCUGGACAAAGACUGACGCUCAGGUGCGAAAGCGUGGGGAGCAAACAGGAUUAGAUACCCGAGUAGUCCCUGUCUCUUAUAC